AUGUUUGUAAAAGAUACUUCCACAACCACGAAGGUGGUUUUCCUGGGGGAUGGCUUAUCCCCUGCACUCUGGCUGUGCUGACCACUGUGAUUUCUCCAAACGUGGGAAAUUUCACAGCAUUAUUUGUGGUAGUGAAGUCCAUUCAUGCUUUC
rnacentral:snRNA from 1 species